rnacentral:rRNA from 1 species
AUUGAACGCUGGCGGCAGGCCUAACACAUGCAAGUCGAACGAGUGGCGGAGGGGUGAGUAAUGUCUGGGAAACUGCACGAUGGAGGGGGAUAACUACUGGAAACGGUAGCUAAUACCGCAUACAAUCGGAUGUGCACAGCUGGGAUUAGCUAGUAGGUGGGGUAACGGCUCACCUAGGCGACGAUCCCUAGCUGGUCUGAGAGGACGACCAGCUACACUGGGACUGGUACACGGCCCAGACUCCUACGGGAGGCAGCAGUGGGGAAUUUUGGACAAUGGGGGAAACCCUGAUCCAGCCAUCCCGCGUGUGCGAUGAAGGCCUUCGGGUUGUAAAGCACUUUUGGCAGGAAAGCGGUACCUGCAGAAUAAGCACCGGCUAACUACGUGCCAGCAGCCGCGGUAAUAC